CCACUCGACGAUGAAGAUUUGGUUCAGUAUAUCAUUACUGGCCUAGAUGAGGACUUCAGCUCUAUCGUCUCCACCAUAUGUGCCAAGGUUGAGCUUAUCUCAGUUGGAGAGUUGUAUUCACAGCUCCUCAAUUUUGAGA